AGACUCAUUAAGUUCACAUAUAAUUAAUUUUAAAGAUGAUUUGCUAAAUCCCAAGUAAUAUGGUAGGUAUCCAACUGUCAUUGUUCAAAAUUUGUGCCAUAACCUUAUACAUAACAUUAUUCUUACAGUUACAGUAAUCACUAAACCUGUGUGGGUCAUUCAGCAUUAAAAACAUUAAGAGUUUUGAUAAUUUAUGCAACUUUUAUUUAAUGAGAGUCAAAUGUCUAAUACAAAAUGCAUGCAUCAAUUAACAAAGCACAGUACUGUAAUAUGAUUUACUAAUUCCAGUAUGAAGAGCUGAAGAAAGAAGCACAGCUUCAAAGGGUGAGAUAAAGAUUUUGAUAAUCAGUGGAAAUCUCAUGGAAACACAAAUUAGAGAUUUUAGUUUCUUAGGUUGUGGCAGUGUUACUUUGCAGCCUGUGAGAUCAGUGAAAGAGCUGGGUGUUUACCUGGAUUCUUCAUUGUCAUUUGUAGGACAUAUUAACCAGAUAGUUAAAUCUUGCAAUUUUCACAUUUGUAAUCGUUCAUAAUCUUUAUGCAGUCAGAUUAUAUCUUGAUAUGCAGAGUACCUUCAUUCUCAUCCACAUGUUUGUUUCCUCUUGAAUUGACUUUCACAACUGUUUGUAGGUUUGCCUAAUUACUUCCUUAACCCUUAAACGGUCCAAACAGAUCGACGUUCACAUUCGUAGUACUCCAAAAGUAGAUCUACUUUUUUUACAUAUUUUCAAAUGUAACAAAAAAAAAUGUAGAUAAAAGUUUUUUUUACACGUUUUCAAAUGUAAAACAAAAAAGAAGAUCUACAUUUUUUACAUACUUUCAGAUGUUAAAAGAAUGUAUAUACACGUUUGGACCGUUUAAGGGUUAAAAGACUUCAGUCUGUACUGAAUCAUGCAGCUAGAUUGGUAUUUUCACUCCACUCCAGAGAUUUGACAAGUCCCUUCUUGUAUUAACUGCACUAGUUCCCUAUCAAGGUAAGACCUAAAUUUAAACUCUAUUUAUUAACAUUUAAAGCUUCAGUAUUAAGUUUAAAGAGCCAAAAAUCUUGUUAAUAUGCUUGUACUAUUUACAGUGGGCUUGAGAAUGUUUCUGCAAACUGCUACAGACUCUUUCAGACUGACUGAGCAUUGUGCUGUUGGGGAGAACUCAUUUGCUGAAAAAGCCUUUUCUUAGAGCACUAUGUAAAAAGACCAUGAAAAGUUUCUUCACAAAGAAGGAAAGUAGAGCUGAAGGACAGAAGAGACAAAAGUUAGAGGAGGAAGCCAAGAAGUUGAGCAAGUUCCUCAUGCUCUUCUUUGAAAAGCCUGGAACAAGUUGUUUGAUACAUCCCAUGGAGUCCCCUGCACCUGCUACAAGUUUGUUACAAUCCAAAGGUGGAUCAAGUACAAAUGUGUCACAAGCCAAGGAGGAAGUCAAGUCAGAUAAAUCCAAGUAUGACGAGAUUAACCCUUUGACUGUCGCAACCCCCAAUCCUGAGGUGUCUCCUGGUGUCGCAAAAUUUAAAAAAAAAAAAUUAUUUUUUCUUAUGAAAUGAUAGAGAAUCUUUUCCCGAUUGUAAUGACACCAAAAAAACGAAAUUUGAUGGAAAACUGACGGAAUUAUGCUCUCGCGAAGUUAGCGACCUCGCCGCUGUUUACAAAUCGGCGAUUUCGCCCACUUUGAGCCCUAUUUUCGGCUAAUUCCAUUGUUCCAGUCGCCCAAACUCAUAGCUAUUUCUUUAGAACUUCAUUUUUUCUAUCGAUUGAGUACAAGAAACUGCCCAUUUACUGAUUUCAACUACCUAAUAAUGUGGUCAGAAAUUUGCAAUUUGGCCAAUUUCACGAAAACUAAAAAAUAUGACAAUUUCAAAAUAAAGUCCAGAAUGAACAAUGCAGACAUUCCAGGCUCUAAAAUAACGUUUUCUUUGUUCAUCAGUCACGUCUCCAGGCCCCUCUGAUAUUACUCUUGCUUUCUAUUUUGAAUUUUUAUUCAAACAAAAAAUAUUAGACUUACUAUUAUGCAGACUACUGCAAUGCUGUAAUAACUGUAUAAAUAACAUCAACCCAUUCAUGACUGCAUAUUAGAAUGGCUAGUUGGACAUUUAUUGGGCAAUGGCAUCAUUUGUUUACUUUUGAACAUUGGCAAAAAUCAAACAUUUCCCCUACUUUGAGCUCCAUUUCUAGGUUCUUUUUAUAGUAAAAUCAAUCAAAAACACCUCUAUAUCUGUAAUAUGUUUUCCAUUCUAUCAAAUGAGACCAAGAAAACGAGAAUACAACCAUAAAUACUAUACGAAAAUAGACCACAAAGUCGGCAUUUUAAUUAAAAAAAACGGUCGGAGUUUUUUUUUUUCUCAUUAUGCACUGCGUGCUCCAGGAUUUUUUUUAUAUGGUGCACACUGACCACACAGACCCAUUCUCUCACAUGUGGGCCUACCAGCUUUCUCCUGCUUGAUUUGAAGCCGCUAGAAUUUAUGAGUAUAUAUACGUCAAACACGGCACCUCGUAAAACGUAUAUAUACGGCCGCGACAGUCAAAGGGUUAAAAGUGAUGCUGCAAGAGAGAACAUGGACAUGACAGGAGGGUAAGGCGAUGGUGGUGGCAAUGUUGAGUUUAUUGACAUUUUACCUGAUGAAACUGAACCUAUUGAACUGGAUGGUGUCAAAGAGCUUUGAACUGUCAUACAAGAAGUGAUUGAACAGCAUGUCGAUGGACUUCUGAAGUUCUGCAAAAAUACUGGAAAAUCAAUUAUACCUGAAGUAUUGAGAAUAGAUAUAAUAAAGCUGGGUUCGGAGUAUUUCCAGAACAGUGAGGGGCCUUUCCUACCAACAAAUAACCACUCAAUGAAAAAAAUUUGGUUCAAGAGGAAAUUGGGAAAUGGUCAUGGUGAGGAAGUGACUUGCUUAUGGUAGGUCUAAUCCCCUUCUAAAAGGUCUGCACUUUGUAUCUGCUGUCAUCUCUAUUCCUGGUCAGACCAUCAGUCCUCACUGGAGCAGGAAAAGUGGAUUUAACCAGUGGAAAACACCUAAAGGGAUUAGCGUUCAUGAAAAUGAUAAGAAUCAUUGGGAAUGCUUCACAAAGUACAAAGAAAUGAAAAGAAAUUUAGCAAAGAUUGAGAGGGAAAAGUAGAAGUGGUGUGAUAUCUUGAGAUUUCUUCACUGCAUGAAAUUCCUUGUGACUCAGAACUUGGCUUUGCAAGGACACAGGGAGUCACAUCAGCUGGAAGAUGACUCCGGUGUGGGAAAUUUCCUUGGUUUACUGAAAUUACUGACCAUCUUUGACCCUGUCAUGAAAGAACACCUCAUUCAUGUGGAAAUUAAUCCUGUAUCCAUGUUUUAUCUUUCAUUCGGUGUCCAAAAUGAAUUCAUCCACAUGAUGGCAUCCGCUGUUCACUAGAGAUCUGAAUUACUGGUGCCAGUGUCACUCAUGUAGAUCUGUUUUAAGCACAGUGCCAUCAAAUAUGCUGUGAUCAAUAAAUUUUGGCACAGACAAGAGAAUAUAAGCCUGUGAAGGGAGUGUGCAACUUAUAAAAAAAUCCUGUAACAUGCAGUGCAUGAUGGAAAAAGCAAACCUCUAACCUUGUGUUUGGUUUAAUAAAAUGACUGAGGUGUU